rnacentral:siRNA from 1 species
UCUAACUAUGCGGAGAUGGACAUC